AGCGAACGCUGGCGGCAGGCCUAACACAUGCAAGUCGAACGAACCUUUCGGGGUUAGUGGCGUUCGGGUGAGUAACCCGUGGGAACGUGCCUUUAGGUUCGGAAUAACUCAGGGAAACUUGUGCUAAUACCGAAUGUGCCCUUCGGGGGAAAGAUUUAUCGCCUUUAGAGCGGCCCGCGUCUGAUUAGCUAGUUGGUUGAGGUAAUGGCUCACCAAGGCGACGAUCAGUAGCUGGUCUGAGAGGAUGAUCAGCCACAUUGGGACUGAGACACGGCCCAAACUCCUACGGGAGGCAGCAGUGGGGAAUCUUGCGCAAUGGGCGAAAGCCUGACGCAGCCAUGCCGCGUGAAUGAUGAAGGUCUUAGGAUUGUAAAAUUCUUUCACCGGGGACGAUAAUGACGGUACCCGGAGAAGAAGCCCCGGCUAACUUCGUG
rnacentral:rRNA from 1 species